rnacentral:miRNA from 1 species
CUGAGCUAUCUCGCCAGCCCACAUAAAGUAGUUUUUGGGGCUGGGGAGAUGGCUCAG